rnacentral:rRNA from 1 species
CCUACGGGGUGCAGCAGUGGGGAAUAUUGGACAAUGGGCGAAAGCCUGAUCCAGCAAUGCCGCGUGAGUGAAGAAGGCCUUAGGGUUGUAAAGCUCUUUCACCGGUGAAGAUAAUGACGGUAACCGGAGAAGAAGCCCCGGCUAACUUCGUGCCAGCAGCCGCGGUAAUACGAAGGGGGCUAGCGUUGUUCGGAAUUACUGGGCGUAAAGCGCGCGUAGGCGGAUAGAUAAGUCAGAGGUGAAAUCCCCGGGCUUAACCUGGGAACUGCAUUUGAGACGCAUAGACUAGAGGUCGAGAAAGGGUUGUGGAAUUCCCAGUGUAGAGGCGAAAUUCGUAGAUAUUGGGAAGAACACCGGUGGCGAAGGCGGCAACCUGGCUCGAUACUGACGCUGAGGCGCGAAAGCGUGGGGAGCAAACAGGAUUAGAUACCCCGGUAGUC